GAUGAACGCUGGCGGCGUGCCUAAUACAUGCAAGUCGAGCGAACGGACGAGAAGCUUGCUUCUCUGAUGUUAGCGGCGGACGGGUGAGUAACACGUGGAUAACCUACCUAUAAGACUGGGAUAACUUCGGGAAACCGGAGCUAAUACCGGAUAAUAUUUUGAACCGCAUGGUUCAAAAGUGAAAGACGGUCUUGCUGUCACUUAUAGCUGGAUCCGCGCUGCAUUAGCUAGUUGGGAAGGUAACGGCUUAUCAAGGCAACGAUGCAUAGCCGACCUGAGAGGGUGAUCGGCCACCCUGGAAGUGAGCCACGGUCCAGACUCCUACGGGAGGCCGCAGUAGGGAAUCUUCCGCAAUGGGCGAGAGCCUGACGGAGCAACGCCGCGUGAGUGAUGAAGGUCUUCGGAUCGUAAAGCUCUGUUAUUAGGGAAGAACAUAUGUGUAAGUAACUGUGCACAUCUUGACGGUACCUAAUCAGAAAGCCACGGCUAACUACGUG
rnacentral:rRNA from 1 species